GACGAACCGUGCGAACGUUGUUCGGAAUCACUGGGCUUAAAGGGCGCGUAGGCGGGCUGUCAAGUCCGGGGUGAAAUCCUCCAGCUCAACUGGAGAAUGGCCUCGGAUACUGAUGGUCUCGAGGAGGAUAGGGGCACACGGAACUGUGGGUGGAGCGGUGAAAUGCGUUGAUAUCCACAGGAACUCCGGUGGCGAAAGCGGUGUGCUGGAUCCUUUCUGACGCUGAUGCGCGAAAGCCAGGGGGGCAAACGGG
rnacentral:rRNA from 1 species